ACGGCUCAGUAACACGUGGCCAAACUACCCUACAGACCGCGAUAACCUCGGGAAACUGAGGCCAAUAGCGGAUAUCACUCUCAGACUGGAGUGUCGAGAGUGAGAAACGUUCCGGCGCUGUAGGAUGUGGCUGCGGCCGAUUAGGUAGAUGGUGGGGUAACGGCCCACCAUGCCGAUAAUCGGUACAGGUUGUGAGAGCAAGAGCCUGGAGACGGUACCUGAGACAAGAUACCGGGCCCUACGGGGCGCAGCAGGCGCGAAACCUUUACACUGCACGACAGUGCGAUAGGGGGACUCCGAGUGUGAGGGCAUAUAGCCCUCGCUUUUCUGUACCGUAAGGUGGUACAGGAACAAGGACUGGGCAAGACCGGUGCCAGCCGCCGCGGUAAUACCGGCAGUCCAAGUGAUGGCCGAUAUUAUUGGGCCUAAAGCGUCCGUAGCUUGCUGUGUAAGUCCAUUGGGAAAUCGACCAGCUCAACUGGUCGGCGUCCGGUGGAAACUACACAGCUUGGGGCCGAGAGACUCAACGGGUACGUCCGGGGUAGGAGUGAAAUCCUGUAAUCCUGGACGGACCACCAAUGGGGAAACCACGUUGAGAGACCGGACCCGACAGUGAGGGACGAAAGCCAGGGUCUCGAACCGGAUUAGAUACCCGGGUAGUCCUGGCUGUAAACAAUGCUCGCUAGGUAUGUCACGCGCCAUGAGCACGUGAUGUGCCGUAGUGAAGACGAAAAGCGAGCCGCCUGGGAAGUACGUCUGCAAGGAUGAAACUUAAAGGAAUUGGCGGGGGAGCACCACAACCGGAGGAGCCUGCGGUUUAAUUGGACUCAACGCCGGGA
rnacentral:rRNA from 1 species